GACGAACGCUGGCGGCGUGCUUAACACAUGCAAGUCGAACGGAAAGGCCUGCUUUCCCUUGUGGAUUGCGGGUGCUCGAGUGGCGAACGGGUGAGUAACACGUGAGUGAUCUGCCCCCAACUUGGGUAUAAGCCUGGGAAACUGGGUCUAAUUCCCGAUAGGACUGCAGGGUGGUGCCUGUGGUGGAAAACGAUUUUCUAGUGGUUGGGGAUGAGCUCGCGGCCUAUCAGCUUGUUGGUGGGGUAAUGGCCUACCAAGGCGGCGACGGGUAGCCGGCCUGAGAGGGUGGACGGCCACAUUGGGACUGGGAUACGGCCCAGACUCCUACGGGAGGCAGCAGUGGGGAAGAAUGCACAAUGGGCGGAAGCCUGAUGCAGCGACGCCGCGUGGGGGAUGACGGCCUUCGGGUUGUAAACUCCUUUCGACCGCGAGGAAGCCACCUGGUUGGAAGGGUGGUGACGGUAGUGGUAGAAGAAGCACCGGCUAACUACGUG
rnacentral:rRNA from 1 species